AGCGAAGUACGGCGGGCACGCCGUACGUACAGCCGCCAUGGCAGUAUCGGAUAUAGCCGGAGUACAGGAUGACCGCCCCGUAAGCCGUUACGUAAGGCCCGUAA
rnacentral:ncRNA from 1 species